rnacentral:tRNA from 1 species
GGUGAUGUAGCUCAGUGGUAGAGUACUUGUCUAACAUGCACAGGGCUCUGGGUUCAAUCCCCAGUACCGCAG